AUUGUGGCAACAGGAAAGGAGCAAACAGGGCAUAAAAUCCAAGUGCACAGCCUGAGGUCAUCAACAAAGUUUCCAAACAGAGUGGGAAGAAAUAGACAGGAAACAAAGACAGAAUAGAAGGAGCAAUUUAAGUGCCAGGAUUCAAAACCAAGUUGAAAGUGAGUGGCAGAAGGUCAAGUCAAAAGUAUUAGGCAUAUGUCAGUGCACAGUUACUAGGAGAGAGCAGGCUUCUGUAAAACCAGGGAAGCACAAUAGGAUUCUGAUGAAGAUCGGAGACAGAGAUCAACUGCCAUGGCCUUUAUACACAAUAUGGUUACAGUCCUGAUGUUGGUUGUGCUGCAUUGUCAUCUGGUGGCUCACUUGGGAGAGAAAAACUGUUCCCAGUCUCAUUAAUCCUAUAUGAAUAGAAAUACAAGGAAAACAUGAUUUAACAGUAGGGAAACAUAAAGAAGAUACAACAAUUUUAUUUCUCCUGGUGAUGUUUCUUUGCAAGUGGCUUUGGUCAAAGAGAAGGUCAAUGAGAAUGUCUGGAAAAUGGAUUCCAUCUGUUCACAAGAGUACAUGAAGAGGGGAAGGUUGUCAUUGUGUACAGACUGGAGAAUCAGACCUAAACAAAACCCAGAG
rnacentral:lncRNA from 1 species